UCUUGUAAACCAGUAAUGNAAAAAACCCAUUUUCUCAGGACA
rnacentral:tRNA from 1 species